UACGGGGGGGGCAAGCGUUGUUCGGAAUUACUGGGCGUAAAGGGCUCGUAGGUGGCCUACUAAGUCAGACGUGAAAUCCCUCAGCUUAACUGGGGAACUGCGUCUGAUACUGGAUGGCUUGAGUUUGGGAGAGGGAUGCGGAAUUCCAGGUGUAGCGGUGAAAUGCGUAGAUAUCUGGAGGAACACCGGUGGCGAAGGCUGCAUCCUGGACCAACACUGACACUGAUGAGCGAAAGCGUGGGGAGCGAUCCGG
rnacentral:rRNA from 1 species